rnacentral:lncRNA from 1 species
GAAUAUCGAAAAAGAAAAAAGGUGGUGGUCUGGUCUAAGGAGGGGAGGUGGGCGUGGUGGAUGCGAUGUGCGCCGACCUGUUAUCCUCCCACCGUCAAGAGAGAGUGGUGAUCGCUGCUCUGUGAAGCCAGCCUGACGCGGUGCCCUCUGCUCUAAGAACCAAGAAGCACAGGCCUUCGCCCAAGCCGCAUGGCUCAAUCUACCUGACUUGGAACGGGCAGGCCAGGCUUCUACACGAUCGCAACCAACCCAGAUGUGGCUCCAUAGACCAUUCCAAACCUCAUUUGCCCACGCUUGUGUUACAAGCCAACGCUACCUGGCUCGGCGAUAGAAGCGCUUCCAAAGCUUAAGAUAAGGUUUAUACAUCUAAUUAGAAUGGCGAUGUGGGACUAAUUCAACAUUCGUCCUCAGCGAUUCAUGCACCAAUUGUUUAUUGUCUUUCUCUUCUUUGACGUAAAAGCUUCGGUUGUCAUAUAUUGAUUUAUCAUUCGGAGUAGAUCGAAAUUAUCGUUAAAGUUUAAUGGCUAAGGAUUGCAUGGAUCAUCAUCUUAGACCAUUAGUGACUGCAUAGAUCAUCAUGGGUGGGUGUAAAUGACUAUUUGUCAAGUUUCGUCAUUGAACCUUAUAAUUAGUUAUGAACAAAUCAUUACCUUAUCGAAAUGGUUAACAGUACUAUUGUAGAUUUCUUUGUGUCUUUCUUACUUACGAAGUAGACUUUGAAUUCUUUUACUGACCAUUUGAAAGAUAUGAUCGAAGUAAGAUGAAAUUGAGAGUAGAGAAUUUCUUUUAAAAAAAGUACAACAUAUGAGUGUGAGAAAUAGUGUGUGGGGCCAUUUGCAUCAUGAAUGCAUCGACAUGAUCCAGAGCUUCCAUAAAAAAUCUCUAGAUUUGGUAGAUGAAAUUAGAGAGAACAAGUUUCUCAAAAAUUUAAUGAGUGAUAGGAGAUUCGCUCGAUAGAACCACUUAGUAAAGUUCUUAACCCUUUUGGAUCUCAUGUUACAUGUCAUCAAUUGUUCAUGCGAAGGUAUACUCAUCUUAUUAGUGGAGUGCACCUCAUAUUGAGGUAGACAUGGUUGAGGCUAGACUUGAGGCUAGACUUGAUUGGCCUAUUGAGGAAGCAAUUACGAUGGUAAGGGAGAGGCUUGUGAUAUUGGGUGUGGGAUGAUCGACUCGGAGUUCUCUAUGAUGCUCAAAAUUGAUCUCGAUUAUGAAUUUUUUUAUGGUUUAUAAAUAAUUAGAUUGUGUUGUUAUGCGUUAUAUCAAUUAUGAGUGAAAGAGACAAUAGUCUAUAUCAUCAUAGUCGAGUCUUAUUGGGUGACUCCAUAGAAGUCCUUAGCUAGUUGACUUGAGCUAGACUCCCAAUUGAAAAUAAAAACCAUGAUCACUUACGACUCUCAUUGAUAGCAUAUAUCUAGAAUCAAUCUGGAUGCUCAUAUAAAGAGGUCGACUUCCUUUUAACAUUAUGGUAAGAUUAAAUUUGGUCAUCAAUUCAAUUUGAUACAAAUGAUUUGACUUAAUCUGUUUUUGAGUAUGAUAAAAAGAAGUCAUUAAGUAUUUGAACAGUAUCAUGCGUCCCUUAACCCAAUUGGAUUCAAGAAUCAAUUAUAUUUGUACCUUAUAUCAUGUUUUUUUUUUUUAAACUUUAUAGGGUUUGUUUGGUAAAAUCACUCUGAUGAUUAAAUUAGUGUACGUCUAUAAGCAUCUAAAGCCGAUGUGUGUGUUAAGUAAAUUUUGAAUGAAAUCAUAGUUAAGAAGAUCACCUUAUAUAACAUCAUUCUAAUAAUUAUCUUGCUUCUUACACAAGGAUUUGUCUAGUAAAUUAAUAUAUGCUCAUAAGCAUCUAAAACCAGUGAGUAUUUAUUAACUUCUUCAUCACUUUCGAUAACUAAUAUAUAACAUGUCUAGCCUAUAUAUAACAUGUUAUAUGUUAUAUAUAAGUUAUAUAACAUCAUGCAAGCUUAUUAAUUGCAUGCUCUUUUGAAGCAAAUUGUUUCUUGGAAAAUCUAUUUGUUAGUGAACCGAUGCACUGCUGUGGUUGAUGAGUUAGCACGACUUAAUUCACGGAUCGAUGUCGGGAGUCUUCGAUCGUCUGAGCUGGUUGCUGAGGUCGGAAAGCUGGUUGGUGGCUCUUACUCGAGACGUUGGUUGAUGGUUCUCCGCCGGGAUGCUGGUCGGCGCGUAGGGGGAGGCAAUCUCUCUUGAUCGAAAUGAUCUUGCUUUGGGGAUGAUCGCUCUCUUGCACAGAAGGACCCGUCGGGUGAUUACCGAUUGUGACCCCUCAAUCAAUCAAUCAGUGUGGAGUUAUCUUUUUUCCUUUUUUCCCCUUGGCCAGAUGCCGCCAUGAGCUUUUAUACUAUUGUACGAGGGUUGGUCAUACGCGGGUUUGGCAUGACGAUCGAUCCUCGAGAGGUGAGAUGGUACCUUUAUGCGACCGCCGUCCCAGGCUUACCGGGUCGGGACAUACCGAGCAACGUCUUAGUAUGAUCUUUGGCUCAGUGUGUGGGGGUGCUCCCCUGACUUGACUGUAGCGUAGCAUGACCUCGAUUGUGACGUGGCCUGAAGCCAAAAUGUAUCUUAUCACUGUUAAUGAUAGAUUAAUACAUCUUUAUCGAAUGGAAAUGAUGCAAAUGUUUACUCGUAAGGAUAGGUGAAACCAUUUCAAAUUGAAUUGGACGUCAAUUUAAUUCAAAAUUUUAAAGUUAAUAAAUUAUAGGUUAGACUCGAAUAUAUAUCAUUCGGCUUUCUAUGUUUAUCAAUAUGAGGCUAUUUUCUUCGUCAUCUUUUUCAAUCUCUCCUCACACAUGAAUAUCUUCUUUGAACAUAAUUACCUGAAAUGAGCUUGCAUCAGAUAACUAAAACCAGAUGACUCAUGUGGCAUUUUCUUGACAGUGUUCUAAGAUGUGUUCUUUCCGUAAUAGAUGCACAUCUUUGUCUUGUAUGAUGGAACAGUAGAAAGCCUGAUGAACAGUAGAAACCAUGCACCUCAAGACCAAGAGUAAAAUAUAAGCAGGCAAUGAAAGAAUUCAGCAAUUAUUUUCGAACCCCAUCAACAAAGAAUAUCUACUAAACGAACAAUAUAUUAUCUGCAGGGCACCGAACAGGGAAAAAAAUUGGAAGCUAUAAUCCUCGUUAAAAGGCAAAACUUACGAGCUUUAUGGCAACCUCUUCGUUUGUUUAGAGAUUAAUUCCUGCAUCAAAAGAUAACAACAACAACAACAACCCCACACGAUCAGAUUUUUAUCAUUCCUGCAACAAAAAAAAGGAAAAAUCUGCACGAAGUAGCACCCGAAUUGAGAAAAGAUCGAAACCGAAAGAGGCCACAGACCUAAAUAGAUCUCUCCAAAGGAACCGCUCCCGAUCUUGCGACCAAGGCGGAACUUGUCCCCCACGCGAGGCUCCAUCCGACGGAGAUCAGAAACAGGAGCGACCGCAACGCUCCCGACUCAAACCAUGUCCAAAGAAAAAGAGGGUCCAACAAGAACGGCGAAGCCCCACACUCGAUAUCACGAAGACAUCAUCGACUCACCGUAACGAAAGAAGAAGAUGAUACAAGGAUUCCGGCAAUUCGAUCACGCAAGGAUUUCGCAAUCGAGAUUAAUCGAUCGAGGAAUUAAGACGAGGAUGUCAGUGUCAUUAAGACGAGAGAUCUGCUUGCAAAAAAGUAGGGUUUGACGGAGAGGGAGAGAAGGGGAAAGAGCAGAGAGUGGAAGGGAAGAAGCAGAGGAUAACGUAUUCGGUCACGCUUUAUUCCCGUUGGUGUUGGAACAGCUUGUACGGAAUAGCGUACUAACCAUACAGCAAACUCCAACCUACGUAUUAGGCAAAAUUGUAGUAUUGCGCAACUUUGGAGUCAUGUUUUGGCGUCACCUUUGAGGUGAGGACUUAUAGUCAUCAUUACAUUCAUAAACGAUUUAAUUAUGCUUUAUUUAUUUAUUUUUAUUUUGGAUGAAUAUAUUGUAUGCAAAAAAAAAAAGGAAAGGAUUUUAGAAUGCAUCAAACGUCUUAGAUUUUUUUUUUAACUAUGGACAAAUGCUUUUUUUUUCCUGCAUAAUUGCGUUUUCUUUGAUGUUUGAUGCUUUAUAUAUUUUUUAAUUCCGAAUGAAUAUAUUAUGUAAAAAAAUAUUUUAAAAUAUAUUAAAUAUUUUAUUUUUUUUAGAAUGUUCAAAUGUUUCAAAUAUUUUUUUUAUUUUGGAUAAAUAUAUCUUAUGCAAAAGAAACACAUGCGUCACACGCAACGACUUGAUCCCAUUGAAUAUCUUGAAUGAUUUUUUAUUUUAGAUAAAGGUUUAUUUAUCAUAUCAUAUGUCUUGGAUUUUUUUUUUUUCAUAGACAGAUAUAUCAUGUACGAAGAGGAUGUGUUGGUCGUUUCGAAUACGUUUUUUGAUUUAGACGGAUAUAUAAGAAUGUGUUGAUAAAAAGGACUUAUAUAUGUUUAUAUUAUAGUUUUUGACAUAAAUGAUGGUGUGGCGCAGUGGUGAAAAUUCUCAACCAUUAAAAAAAUAAUAAUAAUCUCGAUCAGAAUGAACAUAAACUACGUUUCUUUUCUUUCGUGAGUUGAGGAAGAUGGAUUUGACCAGUUGAGAUUGGGCGAUUGAGUUGGUUGGCCUGACGCAUCGAUGAAGAAGAAUGUGGAGCGAGAGAAGGAAGAGUUAGAGAUAGUCAUACAUAUAUAUAAGUCCUUCGUCAAUCGUUUUAACACGUACAAAGGUCGGUAUGGGUGAUAAAGGGAGAGAAAGAUGGCAUGGUUUAAUUAGUUAGAGGUGCAAACGAUUAUCUUUUGUGAGACUGUGUUGAAAAGAAUAAAGACUUUUAUUCUUCUGUUUUUUGGUGAGGGUGAGAGGUUGGGACUACGUAGGAAUGGCUGUGUGGGGAGGAUGGAGACUUCUUUUCUGAGGUUGAUAGGUGGGCGACUGUGUAGGAGGAAAGCCCGACCUGUUGACAUUGGGAUCUAAGAAGAUUGGCUGGCCCGACUUGGAUUUCCCUAUUUGUGUUACAAGUUUUAAUUAUUAUGGGCUGAUGCUUAAAAUGGCGGUAAACAAUUUCAUUUUUAGAGUGAAUAGUGAGUUGUAAUCUUCCAUUAGCUCCUCACAACAAAUCUAUGAUCAAUUUAACGACUUGGUCAUCUUGAACGUGUGAUCGUAUCUUACGGGCAUGACCAUUUUGAGGAAAGUGGUUAUAUGAUCAUUUCGAGGUUUUGAAAGACGUAAUUGAUUUGAGGAGUGAUCAUCAUUAUAAUAUGAUUGACUCGAGGAUUGAUCGAGUUGGAGUGAGAUCCAAUCUUGGGCGCAUAUAUUUGCCUCAUUGACACGAUGAGAUAAUGGAGAUUGAGUGAGAUCCAAGCUUGUUUAUUGUUUUUCUUUUCUCCGAUGUAAGAGCUUCGGUUGUCAUAAGAUUUACCAUUUGGAGUGAUUGAAAUUAUUGUUAAAGUUUGAUGACUAGUGAAUGCAUGGAUUAUCAUAUUAGACCAUUAAUGAAUGCAUAGAUCAUCGUGCGUGGGUGUAAAUGACUACUUGCCAAGUCUUGUCAUUGAACGUUAUAACAUAGUCGAUAAGGUAUAUUUUGGAUUCUGAUCACGUCACGACCCAUGUUGCAUCACGCCCCUGCCAAGUUAGCACGAGGGGUGCUUCCUUGUGCUGAGCCGAAGCCCGUACAGGGAGGCGUCCCCUCGGCGAGUCCCAUCCCGGAAAGCUCGGGAUGGUGCCGCAUGGCGCCAUUCCGUGCAUACCAGGCGACGAUCGCACAAUAGUACCAUCUCAUCACUCGGGGGAUCGGUAGCCAUGCCAAAUCCGCAUACGACCGAUCCUUUGGCAAUAGCAUAAAAGCCAAAGAUCGGUAUCUGGCCAGGGGGAAGAAAAAAAGAGAAAAAAGGACUAUUGACUUAAUCUACGAGGGGCCCAAGUCGGGAACCUCCUGACCAGAGCCUAUGUACAAGAACUCGGCCACCCCCCAGAGGCGCAACCAUCCCGAUCGAGAGACGCGUUCCUAAAGACGACGUUAAUAUCCCGACUCCUGAUCCUACCGACAUCAGCACUUCUUCCAAACGGCCAAGAGACGCAUUCCCAGAAGAUAUGACGUUAACAUCCCAACCCCUAAUCCAACCAACUCUAGCACUUUGCCCAACCGAUCGAGAUCUCCUGACAUUGACUUGUGGAUGAAGUCAUGCUGACUUCUCGACCACGACACAUAAGUUUACCAAUAAUCAGAAAUAAAUUAUUAUUUUAUCGAAUGAUUAAUAGCACCAUUGCAGACUUCUUUGUGUCUUUCUUGCUUACAAAGUAGAUUUUGAAUUCUUUUACUAACUAUCUAAAAGAUACGAUCGAGGCAAGAUGAAACUGAGAGUAUCAUUCCCGAGCAUUUCCUUAAAGAAAAGUACAACAUAUGAGAGUAUGAUAGAUGGUGUGUGGCGCCAUUUGCAUCAUGAAUGCAUCCACAUGAUCCAAGGGGUCAUAGAGCUUCCAUCAAAAGUUUCUAGAUUUGAUAGAUGGAAAUUGGAGGGAAUAAAUUUCUCAUGAAUUUAAUGAGUGAUAGGAGUUUUCCUCGACAGAACCACUUAGUCCAGCUCUUAACCCUUUUAGAUCUUGUAUUACAUGUCAUCAACUAUUCAUGCAAAGUUAGACUCGUCUUGUUGGUGGAGUGCACCUCAUAUUGAGGUAGAGAUGGUUGAGACUAGACACGAUUGGCCUAUUGAGGAAGCAAUUACGAUGGUAAAGGAGUGGCUUGUGAUAUUGGGACAGUUGGUGGGAUGAUCGACUUGGAGUUCUCUAUGAUGCUCAAAAUUGAUCUCGAUUAAGAAAUUUUUUAUGGUUUAUAAAUAAUUAGAUUGUGUGUUGUUAUGAGUUAUGUCAAUUAUGAGUGAAAGGGACAAUGGUCUAUAUCAUCCUAGUCGAGUCUUAUUGGGUGAAUCCAUAUAAGUCCUUAGCAAGCUGACUUAGAGUUAGAUUUUCAAUUGGAAAGAAAAACCAUGAUCACUUAGGACUCAUUGAUAGCAUAUAUCUAGAAUCAAUCUGGAUGCUCAGGUUGACUGUUGUAAUAAAAAUUAAGAGACAUGUUUCUUCGUCAAUAUGUUCUUAUGGGGACUUUCUAUAUUUGAUUUUCUUAUAAUAUUAUUUUAAGGGCCUUCCUUUUAACGCUAUGCUAAGGUCAAAUUUGGAUGCUCAGGUUGACUGUUGUAAUAAAAAUUAAGAGACAUGUUUCUUCGUCAAUAUGUUCUUAUGGGGACUUUCUAUAUUUGAUUUUCUUAUAAUAUUAUUUUAAGGGCCUUCCUUUUAACGCUAUGCUAAGGUCAAAUUUAGUCAUCAAUUCAACUUGGUAAAAAUGAUUCGACUUAGACUUGUUUUUUAGUACUAUCAUAUAUGAAAAAAUAAAUUAUUAAGUAUUUAAAACUUGGAUGAUGGAAAUUUUUUUUGAAUAGUAUCAUGCGCCCUUAUCCCAAUUUGAUUUAAGAAUCAAAUAUAUUUAUAAUUUUAUUAGAGCAAAUAACAUAUCACUAGUCAAAUUUAAUUUAUUGACUAUAAUAUCUUUAAAAAUCUUCUAUAAUAUUUCUAAAUUUUAAAAUGCUUUUUAAUUUUUUGGACGAAUAUCGAAAAAUAAAAAAGGCCGUGGUCUGGUCUAAGGAGGGGAGGUGGGCGUGGUGGAUGCGAUGUGCGCCGACCUGUAAUCCUCCCACCGUCAAGAGAGAGCGGUUAUCGUUGCUCUGUGAAGCCAGCCUGACGCGGUGCCCUCUGCUCUAAGAACCAUGAAUCACAGGCCUUCGCCCAAGCCGCAUGGCUCAGCUACCUGACUUGGAACGGGCAGGCCAGGCUUCUACACGAUCGCAACCAACCCAGCUGUGGCUCCAUAGACCAUUCCAAACCUCAUUUGCCCCCGCUUGGGUUACAAGACAACGCUACCUGACUCGGCGAUGG